rnacentral:siRNA from 1 species
GUAUUUCUGGGGAAGAUUGCCUU